AUCGUAUUCUUGCUCAUCGGUCUGCUUCCUCAUUUCGAACCUAUAGGCUACAACAAUCACCCUCUUCUCUGUUUCUCAGGGCCAAAAGAGUCGUUAAUCACUGGAUCACCAGAGCUAAUUUCUUAGGGUCAUUUUAUCACCGGAGGUUCAUCUCUCGUUGCUGGAGCUAUAGUGUUUUCCCCAUUUUUCAGAGCUGUUAAUAACCAAAGCUUCAGAGCUACACAGUGUUUUCCAUUGAUUGGAGUGCGAGGUGACAAAGUUGGUACUAGGUGCUCCUCGAAAUGGUUUAGGGAGAUGGUACAAAGUUUGUCUCUAAGUUUGGAGCACAAGAGAAGGCUCCAAGAGACUCCCUUUGGACACUUUUUGGAUCUGCCACAGGUGAUUGUAGAGACGUGCCUAUUGAGUUAUUUAGUGAAAUCGUGAGACUCGACUAGCGAGUGUUUUAUAGUUGGUGGAAGGACUAUGCAAUUCAGUGAGGUUGAUGUUGCCCUUAUAAUGCGGGUCUUGGCUUGUCGGGUAGUAUAGUUUCCCUAUCGAAAGGCGUUGUUGGUAGUGGAUUGUUACAAAGAUUUUUUAGCUUUGACCAAAAUCACUCUGCCUCUACAGAGAUGGAUCUUGUGUGGCAUAGACUAAAGAAGAUUGUAUGAUUAGAUGGUGAGGAGUACGUUGAGGAGGUGGUAAAGUUGAUUAUUUUGUUCUUGUUUGGUUGUGUUGUUUCUCCAAGGUAUUUCGAGGGUGAGCUCCUUCUGGGUUGGAUAGGUUGGCGAUUUACAACGUAUCGGUGAUUAUGCCUAGGGUAAAUAUGUACAUAAAUUCUUGGUCGGUGGCCUUGAUCAGUUUACUUCCGAUUGUGGUGCUGGAUCGAGUAAAGGCUCAUCCUCGUAUAGCGGCUAUCUAUUUGGAUGCAGUGCAAUGUUGAUGGCAUGGCUUUAUGAGCACACAACAUUGUUCAGUCCUUCAGUUCUUGAUGCCAGUCCUCGUUUGUUUUAGUGGGGGAAUAUGGGGUAUCAUUGGAAGUUAAAGAGGGUCGAUUUGUUGAAGAAAGCUAGGGUUAUUGAGGGUUUAAACCCUACUAGCGAGGAGAUGGCCUUAGUGGAUGUUCGAUUAGAAGGCUGUAUAAGUUAUAUUUUUUUUUUCCUUGCAGUGGAGUCCUUUAUGUGAGCUAAGUACACGAUAGUUAUUAACCUUUGGUGUUGAUAUGCAAUUUGUGGACUGAGGGGGCCAUGGUGUGGGUGAGGAAACUUUUUCUACUGGAAAGGAUCUUGAUCACAAGUGGCGUCGCCCUGGGCAAAAGGAAUUUUGCAGAUCUUGCAUGGAAUCCAUGGAAUAUUAAAUUCUAUGUACGGAGGCCAAAGAGUAUUCCUUGAUAAUGAAGCAGAAUGUGGAACAUUGCGAUGAAGUCAAUAGGCUUCGCAAAAUGAUAAGAAAUAAUGGGUUGGACCUUGAUGCAACACCGUUUAGUGAGGGGCAGGAAGGUUUGACAAACUAUGCACUAGACAAUGAUGAUUAUGGUGUAGAGUUGCCUGUUGGAGUUGCAUAUACUGCACCAUGGGGGUAGAGCAAUCUCUUGAAAUGACUAGCGUUGCAGCCCCAUCCUGCGAGAUUGUUAAUGGCUCGCCCUCCAUUGGUGAAACUUACAAACAAGGAGAGAGCAAAAGCAAAGUAGCACAGUGGUGUCGCCCUACCUAGCUUCUGGGCAGCAAGGGCAAGUAGCGAAGGAGUUUGCUAUUGUUGCAGGGUCCAAAAGAGAAGUGAAGGCGAAAGUGAAAUAAUAAAUGUUGGUGUUGUCUUGAGGUUAUUUGUAGGGUUGUUUUGGUUUGAUUUGACUUUCUUAUUAGUUUAUUUAUGGAAUAUUUGUUGUAGUCGAUGGAUGCACUAUCAUUGUGGAAUUCUUUUAAGAUGGACUUGGUCCCAAAUGAUGACCUUGAAGUUGUGAAAUGGUUCUUGAAUAACCACAAGAAAGGGCAAGUGCACAUGACUAUUUAGUAGAUUGUGUUUAUUUAAGUGAUUUGCUUUAAACUAGAAUUUGUUUCUAUUGUUAUUUUUUUCUUGUGUAAUGAGGUUGAUUAAUGGUUAA